UUGCUCUCUUGGCGGCGAGUGGCGGACGGGUGAGUAAUAUAUCGGAACGUGCCCAGUAGCGGGGGAUAACUACUCGAAAGAGUGGCUAAUACCGCAUACGCCCUACGGGGGAAAGGGGGGGAUCGCAAGACCUCUCACUAUUGGAGCGGCCGAUAUCGGAUUAGCUAGUUGGUGGGGUAAAGGCUCACCAAGGCAACGAUCCGUAGCUGGUUUGAGAGGACGACCAGCCACACUGGGACUGAGACACGGCCCAGACUCCUACGGGAGGCAGCAGUGGGGAAUUUUGGACAAUGGGGGAAACCCUGAUCCAGCCAUCCCGCGUGUAUGAUGAAGGCCUUCGGGUUGUAAAGUACUUUUGGCAGAGAAGAAAAGGUAUCCCCUAAUACGGGAUACUGCUGACGGUAUCUGCAGAAUAAGCACCGGCUAACUACGUGCCAGCAGCCGCGGUAAUACGUAGGGUGCAAGCGUUAAUCGGAAUUACUGGGCGUAAAGCGUGUGUAGGCGGUUCGGAAAGAAAGAUGUGAAAUCCCAGGGCUCAACCUUGGAACUGCAUUUUUAACUGCCGAGCUAGAGUAUGUCAGAGGGGGGUAGAAUUCCACGUGUAGCAGUGAAAUG
rnacentral:rRNA from 2 species